GACGAACGCUGGCGGCGUGCUUAACACAUGCAAGUCGAACGGAAAGGCCCUGCUUUUGUGGGGUGCUCGAGAGGCGAACGGGUGAGUAACACGUGAGUAACCUGCCCUUGACUUUGGGAUAACUUUAGGAAACUGGGGCUAAUACCGGAUAGGAGCUCCUGCUGCAUGGUGGGGGUUGGAAAGUUUCGGCGGUUGGGGAUGGACUCGCGGCUUAUCAGCUUGUUGGUGGGGUAGUGGCUUACCAAGGCUUUGACGGGUAGCCGGCCUGAGAGGGUGACCGGCCACAUUGGGACUGAGAUACGGACCAGAAUCCUACGGGAGGCAGCAGUGGGAAAUAUUGCACAGUGGGCGGAAGCCUGAUGCAGCAACGCCGCGUGCGUGAUGACGGCCUUCGGGUUGUAAACCGCUUUCGCCUGUGACGAAGCGUGAGUGACGGUAAUGGGUAAAGAAGCACCGGCUAACUACGUG
rnacentral:rRNA from 1 species